GACGAACGCUGGCGGCGUGCCUAAUACAUGCAAGUCGAGCGGAUCUUCCCUUCGGGGAAGGUUAGCGGCGGACGGGUGAGUAACACGUAGGCAACCUGCCUGCAAGACCGGGAUAACAUUCGGAAACGAAUGCUAAUACCGGAUACGCAGUUUCCCCGCAUGGGGGAACUGGGAAAGGCGGCGCAAGCUGUCACUUGCAGAUGGGCCUGCGGUGCAUUAGCUAGUUGGUGGGGUAACGGCUCACCAAGGCGACGAUGCAUAGCCGACCUGAGAGGGUGAUCGGCCACACUGGGACUGAGACACGGCCCAGACUCCUACGGGAGGCAGCAGUAGGGAAUCUUCCGCAAUGGACGCAAGUCUGACGGAGCAACGCCGCGUGAGUGAUGAAGGUUCUCGGAUCGUAAAGCUCUGUUGCCAGGGAAGAACAGCCAGGCGAGUAACUGCGCUUGGAAUGACGGUACCUGAGAAGAAAGCCCCGGCUAACUACGUGCCAGCCGCCGCCGUAAGAC
rnacentral:rRNA from 1 species